UGUCUCGGUCCUACCGUUCAUGGUCUCAACAGCUGCUGACUGACACCGGACACCGGGCUCUGCGCACGCGCAGUGACCGUCCACGCUGAGCCUGGACCAAAACUGGGAGCAGGGGCGGAUCUAGAACAUUUUGACGGAGGAGUUCAGAGUACAUUGUCAGGACAGACUGUAGCUGCAGUGAGAUGCUAUCGGAAAGUGAAGACACACUGAAGCUAGCAGGUUAGCGUGCUAACUUCAGAGGAAACAGAAGGAUAACACUGGUGUUGUUUUCCACCUCUGGACUCAGCUGGUGAUGGACUCAUCGUCCUCAUCAUCAUCAUCCUUAGACAG